AGCCACUGUAGCGGUGCCCUCAGCACACUCACUAUGUGGCUGCUCCUGUUUCUUUUAUUUAUUAUUUUUUUUAAACAUCCAAAAUGCAGCGUAUUGAAAGAUUUGAAAAUCAAUUUCCUUUUCAAUCGUAUUCAAAAUCAUACCGCGAAGCCAAGCUGUAAAAUCCCUUGACCACAACCCGCGCCACCAACGUCGUACCCAGCACCACCCAACGACGCCGUCUGUCUCUUUCUUUGCCGCCACCAAACGCUACUUCUUCGUUUGCCCAAUGUUGCAGCUCCCUGCAAUUGUGCCAUCAGAGCAAAUUUGGGAUGGUAGCAAGCGAGGACACUGCUCUAGUGCUUUGUUUAGCUGUCGCCCCUGCUCUCACGUGGAAACCAUUCGAGAUGUCAUCUUAUAUGCCCUAUUCUCUGCCAAGUAAUCUAGAGGAGCUGAGGCAAGAAUCGCCCUUAGCAUCGACUGUGCCAACUAGUGAAGAAUUUGAACAAAAUCUGGGAAGUCCAUUUAGGAUGACUGAUGACAAUUUUCAUGACAUCAAUGAUAUUAUAGUUUUGUUUGCGUGCAUUUUUCGCUAACUUUGUUUGCCUGCUAAUCUAUCCAUAUGUUUCCAUUCGUAGAAAUGCUCUUCGAUAUAAAUGAAGAUUUAGAGGAGACAUCCACUCUUGUCUCUGAUGAUGACGUACAAGUUGAAGCACCAAGAUCUAAAAUGGAAUUUGACAGUGCAAAAGAACUUAUGGCCUACUAUAAGUAAUAUGUCAAGUAAGACGGUUUUGGUGUAAGGACAUUCAGGGCAGGGAGAUGAUGAUGGGAGACCUAUAAAUGUGACCAUUGAUUGUUCCCGUGGCGGAAAGUACCAACCUAAAGGUAGUAAUAUCUCGAAGCCAAGGCUAACAACUAAAAUGGAUUGUAAUGCGAAAAUAAAUGCGACAUUGAACAAGAAUGAGAAAUGGUUGGUAACCACUAUUGAAAAUGUGCAUAACCACAUAAUUGUCAGCCUCAAGAAGACAAGACUUUUACGAUCUCACAAGUAUCUAUAUGAAUACAGUUAAAGGAUCCUUGAGCUCAAUGAUAGAGUUGGUAUACGAAUGAAUAAAAAUUAUUAUUCUCUUGUCGUUGAUUCGGGAGGUUUCGAUAAUCUUCAAUUUCAAGAAAAAGAUUAUCGGAAUUACAUUGACAAUGCUAGACAUAUGAGAUUGGGUAAAAGAGGUGGCGAUGCACUUAAUGAGUAUUUCAAAAGAAUGCAAGAUCAGAAUGAUGGCUUCGUUUCUAGCAUGGACGUGGAUGAUGAGGGAAGGUUAUAGAAUGUGUUUUGGGCUGAUGCUCGGAGUCGAGCCGCCUAUGAAUAUUUUGGAGAUAUUGUAACCUUCGAUGCAACAUACCUAACUAAUAGGUAUGGGAUGUCUUUUGCUCCAUUCAUUGGCAUUAACCAUCAUGGGCAGUCCAUACUAUUAGGGGUGGGAUUGCUUUCAAGUGAGGAAACACAUACUUUUAUAUGGUUGUUCUGAAUGUGGCUAGAUUGCAUGAAUGAUCGGGUGCAAAAAGCUAUCAUAACCGACCAAGAUCGGGCAAUGAAGAGUGCUAUUAUCAUUGUAUUCCCCGAAACUCGUCAUAGGUAUUGUUUAUGGCAUAUAAUGCGCAAACUUUUAGAGAAGUUAGGAUCUCAUGCCAAAUUCAAUGCGGGGUUGAAGAUUGACAUUCAGAUUGCAUUAUAUGACUCACAGACCAUUAGAGAAUUUGAGGGGAGCUGGGUCAACUACUUGCGAAGUAUGAUUUGGUCGGCAAUAAAUGGCUAAAAACUUGUACGAGGAAAGGUCUUUUUGGAUUCCACCUUACUUGAAGAGUGUAUUUUGGGCUGGUAUGAACACGACCCAAAGAUCUGAAAGCAUAAAUGUAUUUUUCGGCGAGUAUGUCCAUUCUAGAACGACAUUGAAGGAAUUUGUCGACCAAUUUGAUAAUGCUUUUAGAAAAAAGGUCGAGGCAGAGACAAUUGCAGAUUUCAAUUCUAACAACCAAACUAUUCCUUGCGUGUCCCAUUUCAACAUUGAGAAGCAGUUUCAAAACUUAUAUACAAAUACGAAGUUCAAAGAGGUCCAAGUAGAGUUGUUGGGCCUAAUGUGUUCUAAUUGUUGUAUUGUAGAAACAUAAGGGUGCAUUUUAAAAUAUGAUGUCUUGGAUGAAAUAUCUAUUGAUGAUCACAUUAAAACAAUUCAAUACUCAAUUUACUAUAACGAGGAGGAGGUGGAGGUAAAAUGCACGUAUGCACUGUUUGAGACGGGGAGGAUUCUAUGUAGGCAUGCACUUAGAGUUUGUUAGUUGAGAAAGGUUAAUGUGCUGCCAGAUCGUUACAUCUUAGAUCGCUGGAGAAAUGAUGUAAAGAGAAGAUACACAUUACACAGAAGUAGUUACAAUGAACAGUGGGAUAGAUCUGACGCAAGAAAUUAUGAGCUUGUGAUUAAAAGAUGUUCAUAAUUAGUAACCAAAAUAUCCUCAUAUAAUGAAAAAGUUAGUACAUUCUUGCGUGUUGUUAAUGAGUUUGAUGCAAAAUGAGAAGGUUCAACUCCACCAAAGUCAACUUCCGAACAAACGAAGGGAAAAUCAAAUGUGGUCUUGGAGAAGGGUAAGAAGAUAUUAAGUCCCAACGUGGUCCGAGGGAAAGGGAGACCCCCAAGUAAGAGAAAGGUUCCACCCGUGGAAAAGAUGACAACAAAGAGGAAGAAAUUGGUAAUAAGUAUCUAAAUUUGUACUGUUAACACUUAGUAUUACAAUUCUAAUAUAUGCCUAUUUUUGUUACUGCAUUUAGACUUGCAAGAAAAUCUUGGUAGAUGAGCCACAAUUUGGUGACACCCUGGGAUCUCAAUAAAGUCAAUUUGAUGAUGGAGUUGGUUUUGGAACACAAAGUAGCAUUCUUACACAAUCAACUCCACCAGGAAAUGAAGUUAACUGUGUAUUUUCAAUAAGUGAUGACCAAAGAGGACUGUCAUUUUUCAUAAUCUUAAACAGUUUGUCAAACACUUGAUUUAUUUAUGAUUUUGUAAUCUUCUGUGGGGGUAAGCAGAUAUUAGAACCUGACUUUUGACUGAGAUGGCUUUAGCUAUGGAAUUUGUUACUGCAGCAGCAUAUAUAUAGGUAUUGCUGAUUUGGGUUGGUAUGAUUUAUUUUUUGUUGGCUUGCUUUUAAAGCUAGAGGGGAAGGCACCAGUAGCAAACAAUGUUAAUACUUUUUAACAGUGUCAAAUAUUCAGGAAUAUUGACAAUCCCACAAUACUUUUUAAUCUGCUCAGUGGUUUUAUGACAUGUUGCAGGCAAGAUAAGCUUUGAGGGCAUUGAAAGCAGUGGUGAGGCUUCAAGCUAGGAUUUAUUUUUGGUUGGCUUACACUGAGUUGCAUGCAAUGGUUGUUUGAGUUCAAGCUCGUGUAAGGGCACGGUGUGUGAGGGUGCCCCCAGCUCUUCUUUGAGUUCAAGCUUGCUGAUCCUGUGAAGCAAGCUGAGCAAGGAUGGAUCCAUAGUCCAGGAACCAUUGAUAAAGUUAGAGCAAAGCUGCAAAUGAGGCAAGACGGUGCUGUGAAGAGGGGGUGAGCAAUUGCAUAUGCGCGCUCUCAACAGCAAUCAAGAUUGACUGCUACUACAAAUUCAAUAAGUAGCAAACCAGUGACUUACACUCAAGCAUCAUAGAUUUGAUAAGAACAACUCGGGAUGGUGCUGGAUCUGGGAAAGCAUAUUGAUGGAAGAAAAUCAUCCCGUGGGGUUUUGAAGCAAACCAGUGACUUUUCUCAAGCAUCUACGUGGGGUUUUGAAGGCCUAAUGCAGCGUCUUUCCUGUUGCUUUUUGGGUAAUUCAAUAGUUUUGAGGAAUUGUAAAUAUUAAAUGGUUUUGGAAUUUGCUACUGAUCAUUCUAUGUGAACCAGAUAAAUAUAUAGUAUAUUACGAA